rnacentral:tRNA from 7 species
GGAGAGAUGGCCGAGUGGUCGAAGGCGCACGACUGGAAAUCGUGUGUACCCCCAAAAGGGGUACCGUGGGUUCAAAUCCCACUCUCUCCGCCA